GCCAGACUCGGGAGGCAGCAGUGGGGAAUAUUGCACAAUGGGGGGCACCCUGAUGCAGCGACGCCGCGUGGGUGAAGGAGCACCUCGGUGCGUAACGCCCUAUCGGCAGGGAAGAAAAGCGAACAGGUUCGCCUGGACGGUACCUGACUAAGAAGCCCCGGCUAACUACGUGCCAGCAGCCGCGGUAAUACGUAGGGGGCAAGCGUUAUCCGGAUUCACUGGGUGUAAAGGGAGCGUAGACGGCGACGCAAGUCUGGAGUGAAAGCCCGGGGCCCAACCCCGGGACUGCUCUGGAAACUGCGUCGCUGGAGUACGGGAGGGGCAGGCGGAAUUCCUGGUGUAGCGGUGAAAUGCGUAGAUAUCAGGAGGAACACCGGUGGCGAAGGCGGCUUACUGGACAGUGACUGACGUUGAGGCUCGAAAGCGUGGGGAGCGAACAGGAUUAGAUACCCGAGUAG
rnacentral:rRNA from 1 species